CUGAUAUAUUUUGUUAGAUCAACUUGAAGAGUUGGAAAAAUUCUUCUUAGCAAGCUUUCAGGCACAAACACUUUUUGUCAGGCUGAGGAAGCAUCUGCAGUUGGUCUGUGCUCUUCCUGGAUGGAGUGGUAAAGCAGUCUUUAUGUCUACAAAGCACCAUGUAAUGAUUGACCAAUUUGUCCUCAAAACAUGGGAGAUGCAUAAUAUUUUUUUGCCCUCAUUUUACAAAAGGGAGCUGGGAUACAGGAAGGUGUUUGCUAAAAUCUUAAUUAACCUACAGGACAUGAUGCUAUGUUCACAUCAUCCAAGGAGCUUUGAAAAGAUUUCAUUGAAGACUACAGAGUACUUUGGUGGGUUUCUGACUCUGAUUUCCCCAGCGGCCUCCCAGCGACUAUCUGGACCUGAUGCAGAGUGUAGUAUACAACUUUAACACGACUGCAUUCUACAAAAGAAGUGAAUAAUAGAGUCUGCAAUUAAAAAUUAGUUAGUAAUGUGACAGAGCCAAAAAAAGUCCUUUUCACACUCUAAUACUUUAACUAAGCAGCAAAAAAUUUGAAUGCCUACAGGGUGACAAGUCCAUUGAUCAAGGAAGCUUUUUUUUUUGUGCACAUACUUCUGACUAUAGCCAGGCUUUAGCGUGUUUCUUUUUAUAGAAAUAAUUGCUAGUAAUUGUCAGUCUUGAUGAAGCUGUGUUCUGUUUUAUAUACUGUAAAGGCAUGCUUCGUUGUAGCACUUUUUUAUAAGAAAACUUCACUGUGAAAGCAAAAUUAGGUGAUGCUAUAUUGAAAAUUACUUUGGCUGGUAGCAUCAGGACAUACUAUAUUCAGAAUCAUGUUGUCAUUAGAACAUAAUGAAUUGACCUGAGCCUAGAAAUAAUUCAUCCUGGUCUAUAUUGAAACUGUGGCUCUAGCAACCUGCUUGCUAACUGAUUCUUUAAUAUCUUUGUAGUUUAGACUAGCUGUUAAUGCUCUUUCUUGUUAACUUAAACAACAGUGCCCUUCAGUAUUACACAGUUAAAACUAAAUAAACAUGUCUUUUCUCCACA
rnacentral:lncRNA from 1 species